rnacentral:rRNA from 1 species
GACGAACGCUGGCGGCGUGCUUAACACAUGCAAGUCGAACGGAAAGGCCCUGCUUGCAGGGUACUCGAGUGGCGAACGGGUGAGUAACACGUGGGUGAUCUGCCCUGCACUUCGGGAUAAGCCUGGGAAACUGGGUCUAAUACCGGAUAGGAGCCAUUUUUAGUGUGAUGGUUGGAAAGUUUUUUCGGUGUAGGAUGAGCUCGCGGCCUAUCAGCUUGUUGGUGGGGUAAUGGCCUACCAAGGCGGCGACGGGUAGCCGGCCUGAGAGGGUGGACGGCCACAUUGGGACUGAGAUACGGCCCAGACUCCUACGGGAGGCAGCAGUGGGGAAUAUUGCACAAUGGGCGCAAGCCUGAUGCAGCGACGCCGCGUGGGGGAUGACGGCCUUCGGGUUGUAAACUACUUUCGCUAGGGACGAAGCUUUUGUGACGGUACCUAGAUAAGAAGCACCGGCUAACUACGU